ACAAAUUAUUUUUUAAAGGCGUACGUAGGAUUUAUAUAGGCAGAUGGCCCCCGAUUUUUGAAAAAUAAAAAGAUCGAUGACAGUGUUAAAAAUCGACAGUUUUCAUUAAACAAAACUUUAAACUACCGAACUAUGUCGUUUUUAAUAUUAACACAUUCUCAGUAUUGGUGUAAAAUGAGUUCAAAGUACGAACGGUACUGGCAUUUUGUGUUAAAAUUGCUGAAUUCGGCCAUUUCAGACUCAAAAUUCGCUUAUUAGCAACCCUUGCUCCGGUUAACAAUUUAUAACAGCUAUUAAAAUUGUUAAUUCCAUUUAAUAUUUUCCUAACCAGAAACCGGAGCAAGGGUUGCUAAUAAACGAAUUUUGGAAAAAACGAUAAUAUUUGUUUGGCCUUUUUCACGUAUACGAGUAGCCUCCCUUGAAGCUAGGUGCUCGUUGCCAGGCAAUAUUAUAGGUGGCGCCACUGUCAACAUGUGGAUGUGAAAACGAAAGUAGAUUAUUUAUCGUGGAAUAAUUACAAUUGUUUACCCUUCUACGUGGAAUUUAUAUGGUAAUGGUAUGAAUUGAGAUGAUUUAUUUAGUUACCUUCAACUGGUCAGUGGUCAACAAGGGAGUAUUACUGUGUGUCUUGAAACAUUGAAUGCCCCAAAACAACCAGUAUGAUAAGAAGGCCAGAAUAUACAGCUUCCCAAAAUGUUGAAAGACUAAGCUGUUUUUUCUAAGGACUUGUAUACUAUCUAGGUUGAAAUAAGCCAUGGACAAUGAAUUUGGAGGUGCAUGCAGGAGCAUCAGAAAUUAUAGACUUGGAAUAGAUAUUUGCAUAAUAUACAAGUAACAUUUACUGAAAAAUGACUAAUGUUUAUGUUAAUAAAGUGCAAUAUCCAUGCUUGUAACAUUUACAUGGCUGUAAUAGUUACAGUGUUGAAAGAGACUGCCAGUGUUACAUUUCAAUCUAAGUUACAGUGUGGAUGCUAAUUCUAAAUUCUUGAUAGUCAAGUGUUUUUAGUAACUUAUGGAUACUAAUUAUUUAUCAAACUGUUUAAUUUAUCACAUUCCUACAUCAUUAUUUUACAUAAAAUGUUUGUGGUUAUAUAAUAUAUGUUUAUAUGGUAAUAAAUUUUGUUUCUGUGUAAAUAUCUUUGUUUUUGAAAAAUGAAAAUGAAACAUUCAGUGACCAUCUUCUGUCAACAAGUUAUUAUAAAUGCAACAAAACUGAUGAAAAUUUAUCCAAUUACUUUUCACAGGUUAAUAUUGAAUAGCAGAAUACACAUAACAUUGUGUAAUUUUCCUUACUUGUAUCUGAGGCCAUUAUAAAUUAAUUGCUAGAUUAAAUUUUCUUCACAAGGGUAAGAAUUUUUUUUUUAUUUCAGAUAUAUUUUAUUUUUGUUUAAUGAAGAGUUAAAUAGAAAUAAUGACAUGUAAUAGUUAUUUUUGUCAAAUAGAUUUGAUUAUAAGGAAUAACAACUGAAAGAAAAUAAUUUAUUACAUUCUUUAUAGAAGUUUUCCAUACUAAAAAUGGUAAGGGGAGGCAUAAAAAUAGUGGGAGUGGAUGAUAAUCUAUCAAUUAAUAUAGUAUGGCCUUACAUAUAUAAAUCAAUAAAUAUUUACUGGCAAUACUAUUGAUUAGGUAUGAUGCAGCUAUAUGUUAAAUAUAUUUUUUUUAAAUGGUGAUUUGUUAUGAGAAAAUAAGCUGAUAUAUACAGUCUAGAGUCUUCUAGUAAGCUGCAUAAUCAUGCUUGGAACUAGCUCCAUAUGUUCUUUCUUUUAAAAUCAUAACCUUUACUUCAUAUAAAAUAACCAAGUAUCACAAUUAUAUGAAUGUGUACACAACUGAAAAAGCAUUGCAUUCAUUUUCUUAAGUAAUAGUUAGCAUUUGGUUAUUACUCAUAUUUGGCUUUCAGUAACUGGAAAGGGAAAUCAAUAAAAGGAAUUUAUGAUUAUACACAAAAUAUGGAGAAGACUGAAAGCAGUAACUGAUCAUUGCAAUAAUAGCAGAAUACUUUAGCUUAUGAUUGUCAAAAUUCAUUGUAGACUAAUAGUUGAACUCUUUCUUUAAGGUGCCAGUAGGUUAAAUGUCAAUAUCACAGUGACCCUAUAUAAGACUGAAAUAUUUUAUUAUCGAAAGCUGAAUGAUACUUAAUUUUGCCCAUUGUCAUCAGGCUUUAAAUGUAACAGAUGAAUAAUUUGGGGUCAGUAGAUCAAAGAUAAAGGUCACAGUGACAAUUAGAUAAACAGUUUUUCAGGUAUUAUAAGCUUGAGAACACUUUGAUAUACUAUGUGCAGUAGAUGACCACUAUAAUAAUUUGGCACAUAGGUCAAAGUUCAAAUUCAAACCAUACUGAAAAUAAAUGUAAGUUACAUGCCCAGUCACCACUGACAGGCCAUCAUGGGAGACAUAUAAUUUUGUCUUUUUUUCUGUUGCCAUUGUUAUGAGACCAGCUCUUCAAUUGGCUCUCUUCGAAAUUGUGCAGUUUCUACUUAUUUUUCUCCAGUAAUAGUACCUUAACCUUUGAAACCUACAUUUUCUCUUCUGUUGCCAUGGCAAUGAAAAUUUUUUAUACCUAUUUCGCAUGCAAAACAAAGUGAGUGGAUUUAAAUCCAUUUUAUCACUGCUUACAGUUUUAUCUUUAUAAUUAAGUUGUGACAACAAAUGAUGAAAACUUACCUUAUCCUACGGAAACAUUAUUAAACAGAUUACCACAUGACCUGUUACCAUGGCAACUGAAAGGCUAUUUUCUGUUUUCUUUACAGGAGCAUUGUGAAUUGUCAGUUGUAACAGUGAUCAGCCCAUAAAUGUCCAAAAUCAAAAUACUGAAGCCAUAACAUGCAAAAAGGUUAAAAAAUGCUAAAUUUUAGCCCCGUUGCCAUGGCAACUGAAAGGCUAUUUUCUGUUUUCUUUACAGGAGCAUUGUGAAUUAUCAGUUGUAACAGUGAUCAGCCCAUAAAUGUCCAAAAAUCAAAAUAUUGAAGCCAUAACAUGCAAAAAAGUCAAAAAAUGCUAAAUUUUAGCCAUGUUGCCAUGGCAACCAACAGUAAAAGUACACCUUUUUUAUUCACAAAUAUACCAGACCAAGAAUUCUUCCUCUGAACAUGAUUUUAAAUCAUACUUUGAAACGUUAACAAAAAUAAAACAAUAAAAUAUUGUUUUUUAAGAAAUUUUUAGUUUCAGGAUUCCAAAGAGUUAUUUCCCUUAGUUAGAACCGUUUCUAUGGCAAUUCUGUUAUCGUGUUAUACAUGUUUGAAUAGCCUGAUGGGUUUACAUUAAUAUUUUAAUUAAACAUUUGUAAUAGUAAUCAUUUAUUUUGUUUUUCCAAUUUAUUUAAGUAUACCCCCAAGACACGCUAAUGCUUUCUUUCACAACAGCACAUAAUGCAAACAUUGAAUUUUCCAUAAACAAUUGUCCUUGCAGAUUUUAAUGUUUAUUUUUGGAAAAUACAUGCAUUUAGGUAAAAAAAGGCAUAUACUUUAUCAUCAUUUUGGUGGGGGCCAAAAUCGGCCCAAAUCCUACGUAACAUAAAAGUCUGUUUUAUAUAUGUUCCAUAUUCUAUUCCUAUUUAACUUCAGAGUAAACGUACUAAGAUAUUCGUGUGUAGAAGAUGUAUUAAAAGAUUAAGACAAUAACGUAACUCCGUUAGUUAACGCGGCUAAAUAUAGUAAAAUAGAGGCCAUAAAGUAUAUGAUAAAAUUAUGUAUUAUAUGUGCAAGUACUCUCCUCUAUUUGUUUAAAUUUAACUUACGUCAAGAAAUAUUUGUAAAUGCAAUGCCAUUGUUUAUAGAGGUUAACGACUAAGGUACUGUUAUAUUUGCAAUAAAUCAUAUAUAGAAUUCCUUUUACAUAGAAAAUUGAUAUCAUGUAAUCGUUAUAUGAUCAACAUUACAUGCUAAUUAUUAUUUAGAUUUUUAAAUAAAAAGAGUAAUAUCAAGACUAA
rnacentral:lncRNA from 1 species